rnacentral:rRNA from 1 species
GACGUAGGGCGCGAGCGUUGUCCGGAUUUAUUGGGCGUAAAGAGCUCGUAGGCGGCUCGUUGCGUCAACCGUGAAAACCCACAGCUCAACUGUGGGCUUGCGGUCGAUACGGGCAGGCUAGAGUUCGGUAGGGGAGACUGGAAUUCCUGGUGUAGCGGUGAAAUGCGCAGAUAUCAGGAGGAACACCGGUGGCGAAGGCGGGUCUCUGGGCCGAUACUGACGCUGAGGAGCGAAAGCGUGGGGAGCGAACAGG